rnacentral:rRNA from 1 species
UACGUAGGGUGCGAGCGUUAAUCGGAAUUACUGGGCGUAAAGCGUGCGCAGGCGGUUUGCCAAGUCCGAUGUGAAAGCCCCGGGCUCAACCUGGGAAUGGCAUUGGAAACUGGCAGGCUGGAGUAUGGCAGAGGGGGGUGGAAUUCCACGUGUAGCAGUGAAAUGCGUAGAGAUGUGGAGGAACACCGAUGGCGAAGGCAGCCCCCUGGGCCAAUACUGACGCUCAGGCACGAAAGCGUGGGUAGCAAACGGG